rnacentral:lncRNA from 1 species
UUAAUGCUAAAUAAUUUUGUUGGAAAUUUUAGUUUCUAAUAGCAAAAAAGUGGACAAGACUAUUGUUUCAAUCCAGAUACGGCCAGAACUGAGUUUUGCUUAAGGCAAGAAUCAGAGUCAAUUUUUUUUCUCUCAAAUAUUUCCGACUACCACCUCAAAUUAAAUGGUUCGUACCUGAGACUUGAAAUCUUUCUAUCUAGAGCUUAUAAAUACUGACUGGGGAUCAUUAUUCAAUUUGUUAUUUAUAAAAUAGGUUUGGG